CCCAGUCUUCCAUCUGGUCCCCUAGGGGAGUGUCCACUAGGUGGGAGACCUGCAUAAAUACCGGGCAUGUAGCCCUCAAUAAAUCAGAUUCAUGUUUUACCCUCAAGACAGAGCUUGGUCUCGUGUUUGGGGGGGAUUGCUACUUUGGAUUAUUCUUUUGCCUGUUCCAGGAGAGAAGGAUUUUGUAUGAUUCUCUAUUCGGGAAAGUGGAGUAUUUGUGAGUUGCUGGUCCCGUAUAAAGGAGCGAAGGAUUUUGUAUAUUUU